rnacentral:lncRNA from 1 species
GCAAGUGAUAGUGAUAUAGAGGAACCUAAACAUGCAUUGGUGGGAAUGUUUUGGUUGCGCUUAGAUGUUUUAAUUUGGAUAUCCGAAGGUGAAUGUAAUUUGAAGCCUUAUUUGUUGUAUUACUAGUUACUAGUUAUCAUUUAUAAAUAAAUUACAAUAUUAUAAAUAUUUAAUAAUUAUUGAAAAAUCAAUAAAUUUCUUCCAAAAUUUUAUUUUAUUUGAAGCAUACAAUUUAUAAUAUUUAAAUGAAAACAAUUUUCACUCCAUUUUUCACCGUCUUUAAGUUGAAGAAAUCAAAUCAUACUUUCAAGUCUUCCACUUUUACUUAUGCUCAAACCAGACAUCAAAUGUACCAGACACCAAAUGUGUAUGCUUCAAACAUAAAAAUAAAAUUUUGGAAGAAAAUUUAUUGAUUUUUUUCAAUAUUAUUAAAUAUUUAUAAUAUUGUAAUUUAUUUUAAAAAUGAUAACUAGUAACUAGUUAAUACAACAACAUAAGGCUUCCAAAUUACAUUCACCUUUCGGAUAUCCAAACUUAAAACAUCUUAAAGCGCAACCAAAACAUUCCCCACCAAUGCAUGGUUCAGGUUCCUCUAUAUCAUUAUCACUUGCUCCUGUUAAAAAAAAAAGAACUCUCAAACUCAAAAUUCCUUUAUAUAUUUUAACAAUGAUGUACAAAAUAGAAUUUAAAAGGACAAGUUAAUAGUUCCUUACCAAAAGAUAGGAGCAAUGUAAUGCAUAAAACUCCCAUGAGAAAAAGUUUGCAAAUGUGCAUUGUCAUUUUUUCUGAAGAUUUUGUCUUUGUAUUCUAUUAUUAUCUUUUGUUCUCAAUAUUAUGCAUAGGAAACUUCAAGUUCUUUAUAUAGUACUCGUUUUAUAAAAAUU